CGGGAAGUAGCGCAGCUUGGCAGCGCGCAGCGUUCGGGACGCUGAGGUCGCGGGUUCAAAUCCCGCCUUCCCGACCA
rnacentral:tRNA from 1 species